rnacentral:rRNA from 1 species
AACGAACGCUGGCGGCAGGCUUAACACAUGCAAGUCGAACGCAUCGCAAGAUGAGUGGCAGACGGGUGAGUAACGCGUGGGAACAUACCCUUUUCCACGGAAUAGCUCUGGGAAACUGGAAUUAAUACCGUAUACGCCCUACGGGGGAAAGAUUUAUCGGGGAAGGAUUGGCCCGCGUUGGAUUAGCUAGUUGGUGGGGUAAAGGCCUACCAAGGCGACGAUCCAUAGCUGGUCUGAGAGGAUGAUCAGCCACAUUGGGACUGAGACACGGCCCAAACUCCUACGGGAGGCAGCAGUGGGGAAUAUUGGACAAUGGGCGCAAGCCUGAUCCAGCCAUGCCGCGUGAGUGAUGAAGGCCUUAGGGUCGUAAAGCUCUUUCGCCGAUGAAGAUAAUGACGGUAGUCGGAGAAGAAGCCCCGGCUAACUUCGUGCCAGCCGCCGCGGUAA